rnacentral:ncRNA from 2 species
UAGGGUGGCCGCGAUCGAGGUUCUCCGGGUUGCUCCCGGAGCUAAGAGGGAAUUCGGUGAGGCGCUGGGGCAUCGGACCGAAAAGUGGAAUCCACUUUUCGGGUGAAUCCGAUGCUUCGACAAAAGAGAUAGAUCGCCGCACUGCGUCCGAUAGGGCACAUGGCGAUCUAUGGCCGAAGCCGAGGCUGCCCCCGCAACUGUAAGCGGCGAGCUCUCCGUCCAUCGUCCACUGGCGCGUUGCGCCGGGAAGGCCGGGCGGAACCGGCGUCGACCCGCGAGCCAGGAGACCUGCCCCGAUCGUCGAAGACGU